rnacentral:rRNA from 1 species
GGGUUGAAGCAUGACCGUAAGGACAUGUGGACAGUAUGGGAGGGAGAAUGUUGGCAUGAGUAGCGAGAUGUGGGUGAGAAUCCCACAGGCCGUAAACCCAAGGUUUCCAGGGGAAGGUUCGUCCGCCCUGGGUUAGUCGGGACCUAAGCUGAGGCCGAAAGGCGUAGGUGAUGGACAACAGGUUGAUAUUCCUGUACUACCGAUAACCGUUUGAGAGAAGGGAUGACACAGUAGGAUAAGCUAAGCACACUGUUGGUUAUGUGUGCCCAAGCAUUGAGGCAGUCAAAGUAGGCAAAUCCGCUUUGAUAAUGCUGGGAUGUGAUGGGGAGCGAAAUUUAGUAGCGAAGUAGCUGAUUUCACACUGUCAAGAAAAGUCUCUAUCGAGGUUAAAGGUACCCGUACCGCAAACCGACACAGGUGGGUGAGGAGAGUAUCCUAAGGCCAGCGAGAGAACUGUUGUUAAGGAACUCGGCAAAAUGACCCCGUAACUUAGGGAUAAGGGGUGCCACCAUCAGGUGGCCGCAGAGAAUAGGCCCAAGCGACUGUUUACCAAAAACAUAGGUUUCUGCUAAGUCGCAAGACGAUGUAUAGGAGCUGACGCCUGCCCGGUGCUGGAAGGUUAAGGGGAUCUGUUAGAGCAAUCGAAGCAGUGAACUUAAGCCCCAGUAAACGGCGGCCGUAACUAUAACGGUCCUAAGGUAGCGAAAUUCCUUGUCGGGUAAGUUCCGACCCGCACGAAAGGCGUAACGAUUUGGGCACUGUCUCAACAACAGACUCGGUGAAAUUGUAAUUCCGGUGAAGAUGCCGGAUACCUGCGACAGGACGGAAAGACCCCAUGGAGCUUUACUGUAGCUUGACAUUGGGUCUUGGUACUACAUGUACAGGAUAGGUGGGAGGCUUUGAAACCAGGACGCCAGUUUUGGCGGAGCCAUCCUUGGGAUACCACCCUUGUAGUACUGGGACUCUAACCAUAGGCCAUGAAUCUGGUCUUGGGACACUGUCAGGUGGGCAGUUUGACUGGGGCGGUCGCCUCCCAAAAGGUAACGGAGGCGCUCAAAGGUUCUCUCAGUACGGUCGGAAAU